UCCUCGUACACAAUUUGGACCGCGAACUCCUCCAACUGUAACUCACACAUCAAUGCAACAGAAAUCUUGACUUUAUCACCUCUAUCCAGGCACCAAAGGUACAUUGAAACGUAUUGGAUUUCCUAUGCUUCUAUAUGCAAACCACGGUGGCAUCCCAGUUUUGGGAAGAGAAGUGCUGAAUAUUCCAAACUCAUAGAGACCCUAUUCAAGCGAAGAGCCAAGAAUAUUAGCAUGCAUAAAUCAAAAAGGAAGAAGGAAGAUUGGAAACAAAGAGCAGACUCAUAAAUAAGACACAGAUACAGAAAGAGCGUACCUGGAUGGGUCUUAUCCGUCUGGUCUUGGUGAGGAAGUUGUACAAAUUUACAUGGACCUUAUUCAGGAUUUCUAUGUCUAUCAGGCUGAACAUAUUGGUCAGGUUAGAAUCAAAACUCCCAAUGGGUUUUAACUGGAACAGUUCCUCAACCACUCUUAGUUUUCCACAGUAAAAGCCAAGAAAACUUAAGGAUGUCAACAAGUUUGGUAAAUUUGUUAUCACUUCUAAGGAUCUGCAUUCGUGGAUACUUAAGGAAUUUAAAGUCUUUGGAAGCUCUGGAAGAAACUGAAGCUCUCUACAACGCUCCAGCUGAAGCGAUCGAAGGCGAGGAAGAUAUUUGAUGCCCUUAGGCAGGCUAGUGAUUGGGUUUUCAUUAAGAAUCAAUUCUUGCAGCAUAAAUAGGUUGCCAAGGUCACAUGGAAUUGCAUCAUCUGUUACUUUGCAAUCAACGAGACUUAAAAUUUGCAAUGAGCGUGAUAGUGAAGCCAAUGUGAAACUGAGAGACUUUGAACCAUCUCUUGGAUUUGGCGGCAAUGACCAAAAAACUGACCCCACUAAAUUCUUGUCAGCCAUGGAAAAAGGUGGUUGAUUUAUUGGAGUCCCACCUGCAUAAAGUUGCUUCAGAGAUUGCAUGUUUUCCCAUGGUAUGGAUGACCAGUCAAGUAUGGAGCACCAAGAUAAAACAAGCCUUUCUAGCAACUGAAGAUCACCUACACUUGUUGGAAGUCUCCUGAGGUUUUCACAGCCUCUUAGGUUCAACAGAAAUAACUUUUUCAAGCCCCCGAUUGAUUCAUCAAUCUCUAUCAGCCUUUUGCAAUGCUUGAGAAAUAACCUCUCAAGAUUGGGAAGCUCCGAAAAGUUGGGACUUCUAGAAAGGUUAUAUGAAUUACUGAGAUCAAGGAUUCUCAAUAGUCUUAGAAACUGUCAGAAAAAUAGGUAGAAAUUAUCAAGGUUAUAUGAAUAACAUUAAUCCAAUUAGAAUGAAAAGCAUAUGUAAAA